rnacentral:tRNA from 1 species
CCCAUGGUAGCCCAAUAGGUAGAGGCAGCGGCUCCAAAAGCCGUGAGUUGCAGGUUCGAGUCCUGCCCCUGGGA